CGGCAAACGGCAUCACGACAUGGCAACUUUGGGAAAGAAACAUCGUCAUUGAUAAAUUGGAUUCAGCAUAUUGAAACAUCAUAAUGAACUACAAUUUAAAUUUGUUACCUAGUUAGUGCUUGGAAAAUCUGCAGGAAAGUUAGUUUUGGGAUAUACUCAACAAGCAAUAAUGUUGCUGCAGACCCGGACAAAAAUGCUUGUGCUCCCUGUGCUAUUUCAAUGCGUGAAAACAAGAUUUGGUUAAGUAUUCUGAAGUGUUCAUGUGUGGAAAGGAUUGAGUGCUGC